GUUUAGGUGAUCUCUAAAACUAGUUUUUGUCAGAAUAUAAAAACUGUUUUAAUAUAAAUAGUGAAGAUUUUUAUGACGAACCAACUAGUCGCACAUUUCUAAGAGAAGAUAGAAUAACAAUGAAUUUGAAGAUAUUCUUUGUGUGUAUAUUAAUGGCAAUAUUCUUAGUGUCUACGUCAGAAUCUGCCUCUAUGAGGCAACCUAGCGAUUCAGGAAACAAGGAUGCGGAAUGCCCAAAAAUGGACCAAAAGCAAAUGGUAUUGCGUACACAAAGCGAAAGCAAUAAAGAUGCUUAUCCAGACUCUAAAUAUACUACACAAAAUCCUUUCAUUGCACAUUAUCCUGUAAGGGUUUUAAAAUCAUGUUCUGGGUAAUUUUAAUCACAUGUUUACAACGUUCAUAACAAACAGAUGUUAUCAAAGGAAUAAUUAAAAAAAUAACUUAAGGCUACAUUGAUUUUAACUAUAAACUAAAUACUCUCAUUAAGUUUUGUUCUGAUUAAUCACUUUUAUUAAUAGAAAAUAUAUGACUUCAAAUUGAUGAGUAAACUGGCCAUAAAGAAGCGAAUAAGAGUUGUAGUUUUAGCAUAAAAACAGGAUAUUUUUUUCUAAUUAAGAUAUAAUAUAAAUAAAAUCUGAAAAUACAUAUGUCCCUUCUAAAUAUUUAAUAUUUGAAUAUGUGCCCUAAUCCGGAUCCUAAUCCAAAACGCCGAUCAGUAUGUUUGCAUAUUUUGCAGUAAAACUUUAAUACAAAAAAAAAAAACUAUUAUACAGGUCUAAAAUAAAAUAAAUGUGGAAUGUAAAGAAUACAUUUAAAGAGA